GUUUGAUCCUGGCUCAGGAUGAACGCUGGCGGCGUGCUUAACACAUGCAAGUCGAACGGUGCAAGCAAUCGCAUAGUGGCGCACGGGUGAGGAACACGUAGCUAACCUGCCUUCGAGCGUGGGAUAACGCCCCGAAAGGGGUGCUAAUACCGCAUAAGCUCACGGUCUGUAGAGGUCCGUGAGAAAAGGGACACGCAAGUGUCUCACUCGAAGAGGGGGCUGUGGCUCAUCAGGUAGUUGGUGGGGUAAUGGCCUACCAAGCCGACGACGGGUCGGGGGUCUGAGAGGAUGACCCCCCACACUGGGACUGAGACACGGCCCAGACUCCAACGGGAGGCAGCAGUGAGGAAUAUUGCCCAAUGGGGGAAACCCUGAGGCAGCGACGCCGCGUGGGUGAUGAAGGCUUUCGGGUCGUAAAACCCUUUUCUAGGUGACGAGCAAGGACGGUAGCCUAGGAAUAAGUCUCGGCUAACUACGUGCCAGCAGCCGCGGUAAAACGUAGGAGGCAAGCGUUAUCCGGAGUUACUGGGCGUAAAGCGCAUGUAGGCGGUUGUUCAAGUGGUGUGUGAAAGCGCCCGGCUAAACUGGGCGAGGACACAUCAGACUGGACGGCUAGAGGGGGCUAGAGGGGCGCAGAAUUCGGGGUGUAGCGGUGAAAUGUGUAGAGAUCCCGAGGAAUACCAGUGGUGAAGACGGCGCCCUGGGGCCUUACUGACGCUGAGAUGCGAAAGCGUGGGGAGCGAACGGGAUUAGAGACCCCGGUAGUCCACGCCGUAAACGAUGCGAACUGGGUGCUCACUACCUUCGGGUAGGGUGUGCCGAAGCUAACGCGCUAAGUUCGCCGCCUGGGGAGUACGGUCGCAAGGCUAAAACUCAAAGGAAUUGACGGGGGCCCGCACAAGCAGCGGAGCGUGUGGUUUAAUUCGAGGCUACACGAAGAACCUUACCUGGGCUUGACAUACAUGUGGUAGGCAACCGAAAGGGGACCGACCUUCGGGAGCAUGUACAGGUGCUGCAUGGCUGUCGUCAGCUCGUGUCGUGAGAUGUUCGGUUAAGUCCGAAAACGAGCGCAACCCCUGGGAGUAGUUACACGUGUCUACUCCGACUGCCCGUGAGAAACGGGAGGAAGGUGGGGAUGACGUCAAGUCAGCAUGGCCUUUAUGUCCAGGGCGACACACACGCUACAAUGGCCGGUACAAUGGGAUGCAAGGGCGCGAGCCGGAGCGAAUCACGAAAGCCGGUCGUAGUUCGGAUUGCAGGCUGCAACUCGCCUGCAUGAAGUCGGAGUUGCUAGUAACCGCGCAUCAGCCAUGGUGCGGUGAAUACGUUCCCGGGCCUUGUACACACCGCCCGUCACGUCAUGGGAGCUGGUCACGCCUGAAGCCGGUGGGCUAACCGCAAGGGGGCAACCGUCGAAGGCAGGGCCGGUGACUGGGACGAAGUCGUAACAAGGUA
rnacentral:rRNA from 1 species